GACGAACGCUGGCGGCGUGCUUAACACAUGCAAGUCGAGCGGUAAGGCCCUUUCGGGGUACACGAGCGGCGAACGGGUGAGUAACACGUGGGUGACCUGCCCUCAGCUCUGGGAUAAGCCUGGGAAACCGGGUCUAAUACUGGAUAUGACUCCAUGACGCAUGUUGUGGGGUGGAAAGCCUUGUGCGGCUGAGGAUGGGCCCGCGGCCUAUCAGCUUGUUGGUGGGGUGANGGCCUACCAAGGCGACGACGGGUAGCCGGCCUGAGAGGGCGACCGGCCACACUGGGACUGAGACACGGCCCAGACUCCUACGGGAGGCAGCAGUGGGGAAUCUUGCGCAAUGGGCGAAAGCCUGACGCAGCGACGCCGCGUGAGGGAUGACGGCCUGGUUGUAACGU
rnacentral:rRNA from 1 species